UCCGGGGGCCAAUCGUCGAUUAGCCAUGCAGCACCUGUGCUGGUACCCGACUCUACGGGUCGCCGACCCUUUCGGGUGACUACUGCCAGCAUGUCAAGCCCUGGUAAGGUUCUUCGCUUUGCAUCGAAUUAAGCCACGCGCUCCGCCGCUUGUGCGGGCCCCCGUCAAUUCCUUUGAGUUUUAGCCUUGCGGCCGUACUCCCCAGGCGGGGUGCUUAAUGCGUUAGCUGCGGCACGGAAGUCUUGCGACCCCCACACCUAGCACCCACCGUUUACGGCUAGGACUAC
rnacentral:misc_RNA from 1 species